ACGUAGGGGGCGAGCGUUAUCCGGAUUUACUGGGCGUAAAGCGGGCGUAGGCGGCCUGUCAAGUCGGAUGUGAAAUCUCCCGGCUUAACUGGGAGGGUGCAUUCGAAACUGCCAGGCUAGAGUGCAGCAGAGGAAGAUGGAAUUCCCGGUGUAGUGGUGAAAUGCGUAGAUAUCGGGAAGAACACUAGUGGCGAAGGCGGUCUUCUGGGCUGUAACUGACGCUGAGGUCCGAAGGCGUGGGGAGCAAACAGG
rnacentral:rRNA from 1 species